rnacentral:tRNA from 1 species
GCGCCUGAUGACCUGGCGUUCGGGGACGCCCCGGCUGCGGGCGACGGUGACGUGGUCGCUGUCGAGGGCUUCGAGCAUGGCGGAGCGGGUGACCC